AAAUCCUCAUACCGCUCACCCUCUAUCGGAGUUGUUUUGCAUGCUGGAUUCCGAUAUAUCCACAACCAAUGGCAUCAACUGUUUUGCAUAUUGUGAAUAGUACUUUGGAGUGGGUUACACUGGCUUUGGAUACUCCAUCUGCUCGAGCUGUUGUUUUUGGAGUUCAUAUUGGAGGACAUCUUUUUGUGGAGGGUCUUCUUCUGGUUGUCAUUCUUUUCCUACUAUCACAAAAAAGUUACAAGCCCCCUAAACGGCCAUUAACAAAGAAGGAAAUAGAUGAGCUAUGUGAAGAAUGGGUUCCAGAACCCCUUAUUCCUCCCAUUACAGAAGAGAUGCAAUACGAGCCACCUGUAUUGGAAAGUGCUGCUGGGCCACAUACAAUAAUCAAUGGCAAAGAAGUUGUGAACUUUUCUUCAGCUAAUUAUCUUGGAUUAAUAGGGCAUGAGAAAUUACUUGAGUCUUGCACCUCUGCAUUGGAAAAAUAUGGUGUUGGUUCAUGUGGUCCUCGUCAGUUCUAUGGAACUAUUGAUGUCCACCUUGAUUGUGAGGCUAGAAUAGCGAAGUUUUUGGGAACUCCUGAUUCAAUUCUCUAUUCGUAUGGACUUUCCACCAUAUUCAGCGCAAUUCCAUGUUUCUGCAAAAAAGGAGACAUAAUAGUUGUUGAUGAAGGAGUCCACUGGGGAAUACAAAAUGGCCUUUACCUUUCUAGAAGCACCAUUGUGUAUUUUAAACAUAAUGACAUGGAAUCACUACAAAACACGUUGGAGAAAAUAACUGCUGAGAAUAAGCGUGCUAAACAAUUGCGUCGCUACAUCAUUGUUGAAGCAAUAUACCAGAAUUCUGGCCAAAUAGCACCAUUAAAUGAGAUUAUCAGAUUGAAGGAGAAAUAUCGCUUUCGUGUUUUGUUGGAUGAGAGCAACUCAUUUGGAGUCCUCGGCAGAUCCGGAAAAGGUCUAACUGAAUACUAUGGUGUUCCAGUUGACAAGAUAGAUAUUAUAACUGCAGCAAUGGGGCAUGCUUUAGCCACUGAAGGAGGAUUCUGCACUGGAAGUGCAAGAGUCAUUGAUCACCAACGACUGAGCAGCUCUGGAUAUGUCUUUUCAGCUUCUUUGCCUCCAUAUCUUGCAAGUGCUGCAAUUACUGCUAUUGAUGUCCUGGAGGGUAAUCCUGCUCUAGUAGCCAAGCUGAAAGAAAACAUUGCUAUAUUGUGGAAAGGAUUGUCAAACAUACGGGGUCUCUCUAUAGCAAGCCAUCCAGAAUCACCUAUUGUUUUUCUGAGACUUGAGAAGUCCAAAGGUUCAGUAAAAGAUGACCUAAAACUCCUUGAGAAAAUUGCUGAUUGUGCCUUGAAGGAAGACUCGGUGUUUGUAGUAGUUACCAAAAGAUCAACACUUGAUAAAUGCCGUUUGCCUGUCGGAAUCAAAUUGUUCGUAUCAGCUGCUCAUUCACAAUCUGAUAUGUUCAAGGCAUGUGAAUCCUUGAAGAGAUUUACAGAAUCGUUGCUGAGUAAUUAUAACUGAAUGUUGUGUUAGAUAAUUUCUGUCUGUAUGUAUCUGUACUGUGCCAGAUCAGAUCAGAUAUGGACUGGCAUUCUUCCUUUGAACAUUGUUGGAAAGAAUUUCAGUAUGAGAGGUCAGUAGAUAUUGGUAGUUUAUGGAAUUUUCAUUAGAUCAAAUGCCGUACUGGAUUGAUGAGUAACAAAUGGUUAAAUUUUAUCUAUGAAUGGUUGUAAUUGUCAAGGG
rnacentral:misc_RNA from 1 species